GCUUGCUCCAAUCUAGUGCUCAAUUUCCUCUAAUUUCUGUCAAAUCAGGCAGCCCUUUUAAACCUUGCUGGGGAACGCUGCUUGAGAUCUGCUAAUGGCAAAAACUCCCACCGAGGAACGGGAUUCUGGAGCUGGGACCUGGAGCUGUGGGCAGAUUCCUCUGACAGGUGCCCCAUUGGAUGCUAAUGGCUGAAUUAGCAUUUCACUCUGCAGCAAAGUCAAAGCUAUCUCUACAGGAACAGCUGCUAAACUAUUUGCAAAGUUCAAAGAGGAUGUAUUAUUUUUCUUUUUUCACAUUCUUCAGAUUCCCGUGUAAGCUCCUUAGGAAGGGCCAUGCCAGCUGUUGAAGAAUGAAGAUUACAACGUCCUGCUAACGCGGCGCUGGGGAUAUUUAAGAUGAAGCUGCUUCCAGUGCUGGCCAUGGACACCCAGCUGGAGCUGUGGCAGGCUCCAGGAGAAAUGCUCCCAGCCUGUUUGGGUCCAGGACACAUCACACAGCAUGUCAGGUCUCUCUCUGCCUGAUAAACAGCCAUCCUUGCUCGGGAAGUGCUCCCUGGGGCUCUCCCCAUGGGCAACGAGCAAUUACAGCUUUUGGAACUGACUCAGCAGCAACCAAAGAGGGAAAGCAGGACCUGGAAUUCUCCACGUGAAGCAGAUGGAAAGUGGCUGACAGCUUUGGGGCAGCAAGGUUUCCUCUGUGAGGCCACUUCAGACAUCUCCUUCUGAAGCUUUUAAAGCCUGAACGUUGGGUUUGAAGGCAGCAGCACAGGGAGUUAAUAGUGUUCAGCCAGUUGGCUGUCACUCCUUGUAAGUAAAUAAGCAAAUCCAAACCCAUCUCUCAUCUCAAGCUGUAAAACCCCACGUCAGGGAAAGGCCACUGAUGGCUGUGCAGAGUAUGAGCUUAUCAAGAAUAAUUAGUUGUCAUAAAAAUUUGCUCCUCCCCACACAACAACAGCAAUUUUGCACAGUGGGCACUUCAGCACUGCUCCUAAAAACAGCUUCUGGUCCUGCACUUCAGCCUCUGGAAGCCCCUGGCCAUGCCCUGAGCAUGCCUGCAUUGUGGAAAUACACAUUUCAACAGCUGAAAGGCAAAAAUAAAUAACUCAGUAACUCACUUGCUUUUGUUCUUCUCCCAAGCUGUCCCACAUGGAUGCCACGAUUUUCGACACGUCCCCAAAGGUGGCGUUGGGGUUUUGCCCUUUGAUGGCUGCUUGUGUGUCUCUGAAGAACAGAGCAUAGGCUGACACGGGCUUCUGGG